rnacentral:tRNA from 4 species
UGGGGGAUCGGCUAAUGGUAGGCCAGCAGAUUUUGAUUCUGCCUGUCGGGGUUCGAAUCCCUGUCCCCCAG